GACGAACCGUGCGAACGUUGUUCGGAAUCACUGGGCUUAAAGGGCGCGUAGGCGGGUGGUCAAGUCAGGGGUGAAAUCUUUCAGCUCAACUGGAAACAGCUUCUGAUACUGGCCGUCUUGAGGGGGUAGGGGCAUGUGGAACUUCCGGUGGAGCGGUGAAAUGCGUAGAUAUUGGGAGGAACACCUGCGGCGAAGGCGGUUCUCUGGGCCUUACCUGACGCUAAGGAGCGAAAGCGUGGGGAGCAAACAGGGAU
rnacentral:rRNA from 1 species